AAGGUUUUAUUAUGAGUGAAAUGUCAGCUUUUCUUUCAUGGUUUGCUGUUUUCCAGAAUCACCAGAGGGCGCCAAUGCAGAUCUUCCCAGAAGUGAUGCUUCCCACAAGGUUGGAACAUCAUCUCCCAACCCCAUGUCAGUGUGCAAACAAAAAAAAAAAGACAAGUUCUGAAGAUUUUUGUGGUGAAAACAGUCGACUUUUUGGCAAAAUACUGCAUCUUCAGCCAGGAGAAGUUGGCGAUGCACAAAAGGGCUUUUGAAGCAGAGUGGAAGACCUGUACAUCUGCAGAAGAAUCACAAAUGAGUACAAGAAAACAAGUUUUCCUUUCAAGAAAACAAGGCUGGUCCUAAAAUUUCAGCUGGUGGUGGCAUGGAUCAUUGCUAUGGAAAAUCUUCAUCUGGUGGGUUGGAAGUUUUAAAUCCAAUGAACUUCUUAAGAUUUGCUGGCCUCAGAGGCAGAAGUUGGCUGCCAUCCUCACCAGCAAGUCCCUAAGGGGCAGAACCCAAACCUUUGUGAAGACCAGGGGGAUUUGGGAUUCAGGUGAUGAACGCCAGUCUCUGAAGGGCCGCGGCGGCGGCGAGGUGCGGAGACGGGCCGCCUUUCUGCUGAGGAGGAGGAAGAGGAAGAAGAGCUCCUCCGCCGGCCGAGGAGCGCAGCGCCUUCCCCGGGGCCCGGGCUCCCCCGCCGGACACCCGCUCCGCCGGGGCGCAGUCCGCGCAGUGCAAAGGCCGGCCGGCCCCCCCCCCCCCCCGCAGUGCAAAGGCCGGCCGGUCUCCGGAGCCGCCCCGACUGUGCCCGCCCGCCGAGAGACGUGCCCGCACCGCCCUCCGACGGCAGGGGAGCUGGAAACGCAACAAGUUCUUUUUCCGCGUGGAUUUUUGUCUCUCUGUGUGUGAUCUGGUUUUGUGUGGUGGUUUUUUUUUUUUGGUUUUUGUGUGUUGUUUUUUUCCCUUUUGCAACUGUCCUGUAACAAUAAAAGAGAGAGGAGAUCAGAACUGCGCCGGGACCAGUGCAGCGUCCGGCCGAGGAGCCGCUCCCCCCCCCCCCCCCCCCCCCCCCCCCCCCCCCCCCCCCCCCCCCCCCCCCCCCCCCCCCCCCCCCCCCCCCCCCCCCCCCCCCCCCCC
rnacentral:lncRNA from 1 species